rnacentral:rRNA from 1 species
UACGUAGGGGGCAAGCGUUGUCCGGAAUCAUUGGGCGUAAAGAGCGUGUAGGCGGCUCGAUAAGUCUACUGUGAAAGUCCAGGGCUCAACCCUGGAAGGCCGGUGGAAACUGUCGGGCUAGAAUCCGGAAGAGGCGAGUGGAAUUCCCGGUGUAGCGGUGAAAUGCGCAGAUAUCAGGAGGAACACCAAUUGCGAAGGCAGCUCGCUGGGACGUUACUGACGCUGAGACGCGAAAGCGUGGGGAGCAAACAGG